UACGGAGGGUGCAAGCGUUGUUCGGAAUCAUUGGGCGUAAAGCGCGUGUAGGCGGCUUGGCAAGUCGGUUGUGAAAGCCCGGGGCCCAACCCCGGAACUGCAUCCGAAACUGCCUGGCUAGAGUCCCGGAGAGGAAGGCAGAAUUCCCGGUGUAGGGGCGAAAUCCGUAGAUAUCGGGAGGAAUACCAGCGGCGAAGGCGGCCUUCUGGACGGUGACUGACGCUGAGACGCGAAAGCGUGGGGAGCAAACAGG
rnacentral:rRNA from 1 species